AAUACUUCAUAGGGUGGUGUGUUUGGUUUUUGGGGGUGUUAUUUGGUGCAAAGUGAACUACACUGGUAGUCUCCUUCCAUCAAGCUGUUCAGUUCAGUGGCCUUCAGCGGUAAAGCUCUUAGGAUACCCCCUGGAACAGGACUGGUGAACGAGGCCACAAACAUGGGAGAGCUCCUUUUACUUAGCGUGCUAAGUUGAUUCAGCUCCUUAGGAUGUAUGCUGGAAACCAAGAGGAUACUGGAACAUGACAGCAAUGUUUAUGAAUGCAUCAGACCUUGAUAAUAGCCAGCUUUCAGACUGAUUCAACUGUCAGGAACACCAAGUGUAUAACUUCAGUUUAAACCAGAUGUUGUCUUCCUAUGGAUUCUAUAAAAGAACUUUUGGUUCAGCCUACACCUCUCAGAUCUGACGGAUUACUGUUCUUCCAUGAAGGAUCUCACACUGUCCCAAAAUUUCUUGAUGUGGCAAUUCAGGCUGAAUUUGUCUAUGAUUUGGAAAGCUCCCAGAAAAAAAAUCAAGAGUGGGAACCAUCAAGUGUUACAGCAGUGCAAGAAAUAGCUUAUUUAGCUAAGUGUAUUGAAGACAGACUUGAUAUUGUCAGACACUCAAUGGAACAAGCUCCAGGAAACCUUCCUUCCAGAAAAUAAAAAUGGAAUUUGAAAUUUAAAACAUGAUGUGCUCAUGGAAGAAUGCAUAGCAACCUGUGAUGUGAUAUGAUUCAUUUCUAUAUACGCAGGGAAAGAUUUUACAGAAAAGUAUGAUGGGAGAUGUACAGGAUAUUUAAAGUGACAUGAAGACUAUUCCACAUAAUGAUACUUAUUUAAUCUAUCAAGAGCUAGAAUAAAGGCUUAAAUACUUGUGUUUGCCCUCUUAUC
rnacentral:lncRNA from 14 species